rnacentral:rRNA from 1 species
GGUUAAGCGACUAAGCGUACACGGUGGAUGCCUAGGCAAUCAGAGGCGAUGAAGGACGUGCUAAUCUGCGAUAAGCGUCGGUAAGGUGAUAUGAACCGUGAUAACCGACGAUUUCCGAAUGGGGAAACCCAGUGCAAUUCGUUGCACUAUCGUUUGAUGAAUACAUAGUCAAACGAAGCGAACCGGGGGAACUGAAACAUCUCAGUACCCCGAGGAAAAGAAAUCAACCGAGAUUCCCCUAGUAGCGGCGAGCGAACGGGGAGCAGCCCAGAGUCUUAAUCAGCAUUAGCAUCAGGAGAACGGUCUGGAAAGGCCGGCAGUAAAGGGUGAUAGCCCCGUAUCCGAAGGUGUUAGUGUUGUGAACUCGACGAGUAGGGCGGGACACGUGUUAUCCUGUCUGAAUAUGGGGGGACCAUCCUCCAAGGCUAAAUACUCCUGAUUGACCGAUAGUGAACCAGUACCGUGAGGGAAAGGCGAAAAGAACCCCGGCGAGGGGAGUGAAAUAGAACCUGAAACCGUGUACGUACAAGCAGUGGGAGCCCCACCACCAAAGCAUUUUCUGGUGUUGAGGACAACUUUGAAGUGACAUUCAACACGCGUUGGCGGAGCGUUUUUUGCGACGCCCAACACACAAAACAAGCAGUGAAUGUGCUUUGGGGUGGGGUGACUGCGUACCUUUUGUAUAAUGGGUCAGCGACUUAUAUUCUGUAGCAAGGUUAACCGUAUAGGGGAGCCGUAGGGAAACCGAGUCUUAACUGGGCGAAUGAGUUGCAGGGUAUAGACCCGAAACCCGGUGAUCUAGCCAUGGGCAGGUUGAAGGUUGGGUAACACUAACUGGAGGACCGAACCGACUAAUGUUGAAAAAUUAGCGGAUGACUUGUGGCUGGGGGUGAAAGGCCAAUCAAACCGGGAGAUAGCUGGUUCUCCCCGAAAGCUAUUUAGGUAGCGCCUCGUGAACUCAUCUUCGGGGGUAGAGCACUGUUUCGACUAGGGGGUCAUCCCGACUUACCAACUCGAUGCAAACUACGAAUACCGAAGAAUGUUAUCACGGGAGACACACGGCGGGUGCUAACGUUCGUCGUGAAGAGGGAAACAACCCAGACCGCCAGCUAAGGUCCCAAAGUCAUAGUUAAGUGGGAAACGAAGUGGGAAGGCUCAGACAGCCAGGAUGUUGGCUUAGAAGCAGCCAUCAUUUAAAGAAAGCGUAAUAGCUCACUGGUCGAGUCGGCCUGCGCGGAAGAUGUAACGGGGCUAAACUAUGCACCGAAGCUGCGGCAGCGAUAUGUAAAUAUUGUUGGGUAGGGGAGCGUUCUGUAAGCCUGUGAAGGUGUACUGCGAGGUAUGCUGGAGGUAUCAGAAGUGCGAAUGCUGACAUAAGUAACGAUAAUGCGGGUGAAAAACCCGCACGCCGGAAGACCAAGGGUUCCUGUCCAACGUUAAUCGGGGCAGGGUGAGUCGACCCCUAAGGCGAGGCAGAAAUGCGUAGUCGAUGGGAAACGGGUUAAUAUUCCCGUACUGGUGAUAAUUGCGAUGGGGGGACGGAGAAGGCUAGGCUAUCCGGGCGACGGUUGUCCCGGUUUAAGGAUGUAGGCAGGUGAAUUAGGCAAAUCCGGUUCACUAUAUGCUGAGGUCCGACGACGAGUCACUACGGUGAUGAAGUAGCUCAUGCCCCGCUUCCAGGAAAAGCCUCUAAGCUCUAGAUUAUCAUUAAUCGUACCCCAAACCGACACAGGUGGUCAGGUAGAGAAUACUCAGGCGCUUGAGAGAACUCGGGUGAAGGAACUAGGCAAAAUGGUGCCGUAACUUCGGGAGAAGGCACGCUGGCGCUAGGUGAAGUCCCUCGCGGAUGGAGCUGAAGCCAGUCGCAGAUACCAGCUGGCUGCAACUGUUUAUUAAAAACACAGCACUGUGCAAACACGAAAGUGGACGUAUACGGUGUGACGCCUGCCCGGUGCUGGAAGGUUAAUUGAUGGGGUUAUCCGUAAGGAGAAGCUCUUGAUCGAAGCCCCAGUAAACGGCGGCCGUAACUAUAACGGUCCUAAGGUAGCGAAAUUCCUUGUCGGGUAAGUUCCGACCUGCACGAAUGGCGUAAUGAUGGCCAGGCUGUCUCCACCCGAGACUCAGUGAAAUUGAACUCGCUGUGAAGAUGCAGUGUACCCGCGGCAAGACGGAAAGACCCCGUGAACCUUUACUAUAGCUUGACACUGAACAUUGAGCCUUGAUGUGUAGGAUAGGUGGGAGGCUUUGAAGUGUGGACGCCAGUCUGCAUGGAGCCAACCUUGAAAUACCACCCUUUAAUGUUUGAUGUUCUAACGUAGCCCCGUUAUCCGGGGUGCGGACAGUGUCUGGUGGGUAGUUUGACUGGGGCGGUCUCCUCCCAAAGAGUAACGGAGGAGCACGAAGGUUGGCUAAGCAUGGUCGGACAUCAUGCGGUUAGUGCAAAGGCAUAAGCCAGCUUGACUGCGAGAGUGACGGCUCGAGCAGGUACGAAAGUAGGUCUUAGUGAUCCGGUGGUUCUGAAUGGAAGGGCCAUCGCUCAACGGAUAAAAGGUACUCCGGGGAUAACAGGCUGAUACCGCCCAAGAGUUCAUAUCGACGGCGGUGUUUGGCACCUCGAUGUCGGCUCAUCACAUCCUGGGGCUGAAGUAGGUCCCAAGGGUACGGCUGUUCGCCGUUUAAAGUGGUACGCGAGCUGGGUUUAGAACGUCGUGAGACAGUUCGGUCCCUAUCUGCCGUGGGCGUUGGAAGAUUGAAAGGGGCUGCUCCUAGUACGAGAGGACCGGAGUGGACGCACCACUGGUGUUCGGGUUGUCAUGCCAAUGGCAUUGCCCGGUAGCUAAGUGCGGAAGAGAUAACCGCUGAAAGCAUCUAAGCGGGAAACUUGCCUUGAGAUGAGUCUUCCCUGACUCUUUAAGGGUCCUAAAGGAACGUUUAAGACUAAGACGUUGAUAGGUUGGGUGUGUAAGCGUAGCGAUACGUUGAGCUAACCAAUACUAAUGAACCGUGAGGCUUAACCUG